rnacentral:lncRNA from 1 species
AGAGAAAGCAGUUUUGGCUGAGAGAGGACUGCAGCUGCUCAAGGGUUUCCUUUGCUGUGCAGACGAUGUGACUGUUGUAUGCACUGAACAAUGCCUGCACAAGACAGUACGCAAUAAGACUUAUGAACAGAAGAUAUUCAAGAAUUUAAAAGAACCAUCCAGGAGGGCUGAAACUACAUUCUACCCAUCUCCUGAGAAUAGUUCUGCAAAGUGCAAAUAAAAUGACACAUCUCAAUGAAGGUAUUCAGCGAUAAGCAAGUAAGUUCACUCUUCUCUUCGAGUGUAGUCAUGGAUAUGCAGCAUGUAAAAUGUGGCCUUCGGCUUGUUAUCUAUUGAUGUCAAAGCUGUGGUAUUGUCAGUGAUUUUUCUUAUGGCCUUAUAUUCAGCCUUCAGUGUAAGCCAGUGGUAUAAAAUAAAGAUACUCACAGGGUGAGACAGGCCUGAUACUGUUUAGGUAUAAUGAGAAGGACAGAGUGCUUGAAAGUGUCAUCAUGCACCAAAUAUCAUAUACUCUUGGGUCAUUGGUUGUCAAGGUCUAAAAAAGUGCAUUGUGCAUCACGAUGUCUUAGCUUGCUUCCGGCUCUGAAUUUAUUUGGUUUCUAAAUAAGCCUCAAUGAGAUUCUCAGUGAUGGCUUUUGAAUAAUAUUACAUAAUGUAUGUCAACCAUAUCCAAACUUCCAGGCUUAAUAUCUACCUGACUUUAAGGAUUUUGCUGUCUUUUCCAUGAGCGCUGAGCUGAAAUGAUUUAGUACUAAGGAAGGUGAAAUGAUGUGUUGGGAGACAGCUGACUUGUGGAUGCUUCUCAGAUCAUGGAAGAGAGAAGAAAGUCCAAAAGUCAACAGUACCUGAGGCAAACAGCCAAUGGGGAAGACAACCUAAAAUCUCUGACAUUUUCUAGUAUUCAGGUCUCUUGGGGCCAAGUGACAUUGAAGUCCUUUCCCUUGGCUGAUCAGUUCAUAACCCUCAACAUUAACUCAAUGGCUCUCCUGUGAGCUUGCCCUUGCUUUGGUUCUGAUCCCUGGUAUCAUCUUUAGGCUCGAGUGUCAACAACAACCUGCUGUACCAGUCAAUGGGCAGUGCAUUCUCUCCUGUGGUCCUCUAUACAGUGCCCAUAUCUUCAUAAAUAGGUCUUUUAUUAAACUUUCCUUAAACUUCCCUAUAUGCAUGUGUCAUCUCUUCUGCUGAUACUGGUAUUAGACAAAGUGAGGUUGAGAGAGAAUGAGGAUCCCCUUUGUCAAAAGACAGUGGUAUUACCAGGUGUAGUAGGCUGAAUGAUGGAACUCAGAGUUCACUCAAUGCACUGGUUUUGCUCUGUAACUGGGAGUCUUGUUGUUAGCUACAAAGCUUCAAGACUACUUUUCCAGACUCUGAAUGAUUUUGGCAAAUAAUCUUUGUCCUGUUAUCAGCCAGAGUUGGCUUAUUGGUUUAUGUCGCUUGAAACUAAGGACCUGGUUAUGACAUAUUUUCCAUCCUGCCAUCCUUUUUGUGUCAGCUUUGACUGCAGGCAAGAUUUCCUCUUGACCUCAUGACAGCUGUAGCUGUUGUAGGAAUUAUAGGCAGACAUAAUAACCCCCAGAGGGGGAAGAAAUUGCUUAUAUUUAUGUUCUCUUUUAGGACUGGAGGCCGCUUUACCUCAAGCCUCUUAUCAGAUUUUUCUCUCACACGCUACAUUUUGUGCUGGUACAUAACACUGGUCAAAUCAACAUUAUCAGCCACAAAUAAAGUUUCUAUGAAGAAUAAAUACAUGUGUGUAAAGCUUUUCACACUGUAGUCAGCAUACUUGAAGAAUCUGAGUGAAAACUUCCAAUACUUAAACUCCCUUGGGAAGGUUUCUGCCAUAUAUACAACUCAGGAUUCACCCCAGACUUACUGAAAUACAGUGUUUAGAUGUAGGGCCUAGUUAGCAAUAUUUAAAAAAAACUUGUUCGGUAGAUUCUCAAUAUAUCCUUGGUUAACAAUCUCCAAAAAGGAGUAAUUAUAGCAUUUAAACUGAAAUGUUUAUCCAGAUGUUUUACUCUUCUACCCAAGUGAAAUUUCCUACUGCUUCUUUCUCUUAGGUCAUGGGUUAAUGUUAAAUGAUUGGCAAAUUGAAGACUAAAUAGUCAAAGAUAGCUGUCCUCGUAAAGAGCUGUUGAAACUAGAGAAAAUAGUUGGCCUUUGGGCUGUUGGCUACUACUCUGUGAAAGGUGAAUUGAGUUUAUAGUUCCGAGUUACUCAGCUUAGUGAUUUUUAACUUAACUGGUAC